AAUCAACGCUGGCGGCGUGCCUCAGACAUGCAAGUCGAACGAUUAAGACUUCCUUCGGGAAGUGCAUAAAGUGGCGCACGGGUGAGUAACACGUAAGUAAUCUACCUUCGAGUGGGGAAUAACGUUCGGAAACGAACGCUAAUACCGCAUAAUGCAGCGGCAUCGCAAGAUGACAGUUGUUAAAGGAUUUAUUUCGCUUGAAGAGGAGCUUGCGGCAGAUUAGCUAGUUGGUAAGGUAACGGCUUACCAAGGGCUACGAUCUGUAUCCGGUCUAAGAGGACGGUCGGACGACACUGACACUGAUAACGGGUCAGACUCC
rnacentral:rRNA from 1 species